UACGUAGGAGGCGAGCGUUGUCCGGAUUUACUGGGCGUAAAGCGCGCGCAGGCGGCACUGUAAGUAAGGUGUGAAAUCUCCCUGCUCAACGGGGAGGGUGCAUUUUAGACUGCAGAGCUAGAGGACGGUAGAGGGGGGUGGAAUUGCUGGUGUAGCGGUGAAAUGCGUAGAGAUCAGCAGGAACACCCGUGGCGAAGGCGGCCCCCUGGGCCGAACCUGACGCUGAGGCGCGAAGGCGUGGGGAGCGAACGGG
rnacentral:rRNA from 1 species